rnacentral:rRNA from 1 species
UACAGAGGGUGCGAGCGUUAAUCGGAAUUACUGGGCGUAAAGCGUACGUAGACGGUUGGAUAAGUCGGAUGUGAAAGCCCACGGCUCAACCGUGGAGGGUCAUUGGAAACUGGGGGACUUGAGUGCAGAAGAGGAGAGUGGAAUUCCACGUGUAGCGGUGAAAUGCGUAGAGAUGUGGAGGAACACCAGUGGCGAAGGCGACUCUCUGGUCUGUAACUGACGCUGAGGCGCGAAAGCGUGGGGAGCAAACAGG